rnacentral:lncRNA from 1 species
AGACUUUAAAAACAAAGCUUCCGGAUGGAAAGCAUUUUUAAUAGGAUGAUUGUUGUAUUUUACAUCGCAUCAUCCAGCGCCUAAGGAGUGCUUAGAGGCAUGCAUCAUUCUUAAAAAUGGUUAGCUGUAUGAAAAUGUAUCGCAUUGAUUGUUUGUGGAUUCCGUGAAUAUAAGUUAUGAGUUGUGAUCUUGUUAAUAUUGUUUGAUCGGUACACCGUAAAAAUACAAAAGAGUCAUGUCAGUGUGGACAUAGAGAUUUGUAUUUGUAGCGGGCUGAACGCCACGUGGGCCAGGCAAUUCAAAAAGAAAAAUGGCACAUUUU